ACUUUGAAAGAGCAGGAGAUAAUUGCCCAUCUCCUCACAGGAUUGGGGUCGGAUUAUGAUGCCCUCGUCACAUCUAUCACGAUGCGCACUGAGCCAAUGUCUCUCAGCGAGCUCUAUGCUCAUCUUCUCAGCUAUGAAC